AGUCUGCAAACAUGAAGCUGUUCAUACUUCUUCUUCUGGUCAGCUGCCUCUCCAUGACACUGCUGCCAGCUACCGUUGAAGCCGUAGGCGGCGGGAACUGCAGUUGUAGAUAUCGAUGUUAUCAUUCGGAGAUCGACAAGGGGCGCUGUGGAUAUCUAAGGUGGUGCUGCCCUAGACGCUGGAUAGGAUAGGCUUAUAGGGCGAUGAACCAAAACACCCAAAGACAAAUCUACUUAUGUUUUGUUUUUGGUGAAAAUAAAUCUUCGUUGUAAAAA